rnacentral:rRNA from 1 species
GACGAACGCUGGCGGCGUGCUUAACACAUGCAAGUCGAACGACGUGGCGCACGGGUGAGUAACGCGUAAUCACCCUGCCCUUCAGAGGGGGACAACAGUUGGAAACGACUGCUAAUACCCCAUACUGAUGGAGGAGAUUGCGUCUGAGUUGAUAGUUGGAGGGGUAAUGGCCCACCAAGGCGAGGAUCAGUAGCCGUACGGGGAGGAUGAGCGGCGACAUUGGGACUGGAACACGGCCCAGACUCCUACGGGAGGCAGCAGUGGGGAAGCGUCCGAAAUGGACGUGAGGCUGACGGUGAAACGCCGCGGGAGUGAUGAGGGCCUUGGGGUUGUAAAGCUCUGUUAUUCGGGAAGCGGUACCGGAAUAGAAAGCCACGGCUAACUACGUGCCAGCAGCCGCGGUAAUAC